rnacentral:rRNA from 1 species
UCCUACGGGAGGCAGCAGUGAGGAAUAUUGGACAAUGGCCGAGAGGCUGAUCCAGCCAUGCCGCGUGCGGGAGGACGGCCCUAUGGGUUGUAAACCGCUUUUGUUGGGGAGCAAUAAGUCUUACGUGUAAGAUGAUGAGAGUACCCAGCGAAUAAGCAUCGGCUAACUCCGUGCCAGCAGCCGCGGUAAUACGGAGGAUGCGAGCGUUAUCCGGAUUUAUUGGGUUUAAAGGGUGCGUAGGCGGGCUGUUAAGCGUGAGGUGAAAGCUCGGGGCUCAACCCCGGAACUGCCUCGCGAACUGGCGGUCUUGAAUGUCCGUGCCGUGGGAGGAAUGUGUGGUGUAGCGGUGAAAUGCAUAGAGAUCACACAGAACACCGAUUGCGAAGGCAUCUCACGAACGGAUGAUUGACGCUGAGGCACGAAAGCGUGGGGAUCAAACAGGAUUAGAUACCCUGGUAGUCC